CCCGGGCAACCCAAACCCAACCUCGCAAGCUCGGCCGACAGAUUAUCGCUUUCCUCGUCCCUCUGGGGCCGCCUCCAUCUCGCCGAAAUCUUCAGCCCGCCGAGCACCUCUGUCCAGUGGCAGACAUGGCUGGGCCGCCAGCUCUCUUCCGCUCGUCCUCAUGGCCGCCGCUUUCCACUCGCUCACCCUCGCCGCCGCGGCGACGCCCUCGUCGACUGUGUCUGCGUCCUCCGUCCGUCGGCUGCGCCCCGUUCGCAUCUGAUAUCUUCCUGGUGAUGAGCUCCAAAAGAAUAAUCCCGAAGCUGUACACAUCACUUUUUACCGUAAGAAGCCCAGUCUGCACAAAGUUUGGGUCGCUGUAAUGUCUGUAAACUACAAUAGUGCCUGAAUCGUAGUCCUUGGUAAGCCUCCUUGAGAGUGAAAAGCCGGAGACCUUGGGCAUGAAGUCAUCAUCUAGAAGGAUAUUCGAAGGGCUGACACUACCAUGUCUGAUGCAACCAGAAUCAGACGAGUGCAUGUAUGCUAAUGCUUUUGCCGUUCUGAUCGCAAUCUGCAAUCGCAGUUCGAGGGGAAAACAUUUGGUACCAUUCAGGAGGUCUGCGAGAGUACCAUUGGCAGCAUACUCAUAUAUAAAAAUUGGAACAUCAAACUCCAGGCAAAAGCCCAAAAGUUUGAUGAUACUGUUGUGGGUGAGUUGAGCAUGGAUCAGCGCAUCGUUAACCAAAUGUUGUCUAUGCUCCUCAUAUAACUGAAGAGAUUUCUUCACUGCCACCAA